AAAGAUCCGGGUAGCUUCACAAUUCCGUGCACUAUUGGGAAGAUGGAGUUUAACAAGUGUUUAUGUGAUUUGGGAGCAAGUAUAAAUUUGAUGCCACUGUCAAUAUUCAACCAGUUGGGAUUAUCGGCCCCACAACCAACGAACAUAUCAUUACAGUUAGCAGACCGGUCCGUCGUAUAUCCACGGGGAAUUGUUGAAGAUGUAUUG
rnacentral:lncRNA from 1 species